rnacentral:rRNA from 1 species
GACGAACGCUGGCGGCGCGCUUAACACAUGCAAGUCGAACGGAAAGGCCUGCUUUCCCUUGUGGAUUGCGGGUACUCGAGUGGCGAACGGGUGAGUAACACGUGAGUGAUCUGCCCCCAACUUGGGUAUAAGCCUGGGAAACUGGGUCUAAUUCCCGAUAGGACUGCAGGGUGGUGCCUGUGGUGGAAAACGAUUUUCUAGUGGUUGGGGAUGAGCUCGCGGCCUAUCAGCUUGUUGGUGGGGUAAUGGCCUACCAAGGCGGCGACGGGUAGCCGGCCUGGGAGGGUGGACGGCCACAUUGGGACUGAGAUACGGCCCAGACUCCUACGGGAGGCAGCAGUGGGGAAUAUUGCACAAUGGGCGGAAGCCUGAUGCAGCGACGCCGCGUGGGGGAUGACGGCCUUCGGGUUGUAAACUCCUUUCGGCCGCGAGGAAGCCACCUGGUUGGAAGGGUGGUGACGGUAGUGGUAGAAGAAGCACCGGCUAACUACGUG